rnacentral:rRNA from 1 species
GACGAACGCUGGCGGCGUGCCUAAUACAUGCAAGUAGAACGCUGAAGGACUACCUUGCUUCUCUGGAUGAGUUGCGAACGGGUGAGUAACGCGUAGGUAACCUGCCUUGUAGCGGGGGAUAACUAUUGGAAACGAUAGCUAAUACCGGAUAACAGUAGAUAUCGCAUGAUAUCUACUGGAAAGUUUCAAUUGCAUCACUACCACAUGGAGCUGCUUUGUAUUAGCUAGUUGGUGAGGUAACGGCUCACCUAGGCGGCGAUACAUAGCAGACCUGAGAGGGUGAUCAGCCACACUGAGACUGAGACACGGCCCAGACGGCUACAGGAGGCAGCAGUAGGGAAUCUUCGGCAAGGGACGGAAGUCUGACCGAGCAACGCCGCGUGAGUGAAGAAGGUUUUCGGAUCGUAAAUCUCGGUUGUAAGAGAAGAACGAGUGUGAGAGUGGAAAGUUCACACUGUGACGGUAUCUUACCAGAAAGGGACGGCUAACUACGUG